rnacentral:rRNA from 1 species
GACGAACCGUCCGAACGUUAUUCGGAAUCACUGGGCUUAAAGGGUGCGUAGGCGGCGCGGAAAGUUGGGUGUGAAAUCCCUCGGCUCAACCGAGGAACUGCGCCCAAAACUACCGUGCUCGAGGGAGAUAGAGGUGAGCGGAACUUAGGGUGGAGCGGUGAAAUGCGUUGAUAUCCUAAGGAACACCGGUGGCGAAAGCGGCUCACUGGAUCUUUUCUGACGCUGAGGCACGAAAGCUAGGGUAGCGAACGGG